rnacentral:rRNA from 1 species
UACGAAGGGUGCAAGCGUUACUCGGAAUUACUGGGCGUAAAGCGUGCGUAGGUGGUUUGUUAAGUCUGAUGUGAAAGCCCUGGGCUCAACCUGGGAACUGCAUUGGAUACUGGCUUACUAGAGUGCGGUAGAGGGGUGUGGAAUUCCCGGUGUAGCAGUGAAAUGCGUAGAUAUCGUAAGGAAGACCAGUGGCGAAGGCGGGUCUCUGGACAGUUCCUGACGCUGAGGCACGAAGGCCAGGGGAGCAAACGGG